UUCCGGUUGAUCCUGCCGGACCUGACUGCUAUCGGAUUGGUACUAAGCCAUGCGAGUCAUUGUAGCAAUACAAGGCGGACGGCUCAGUAACACGUAGUCAACCUAACUCGUGGACGUGGAUAACCUCGGGAAACUGAGAAUAAACCACGAUAGAUCAUAGUGCCUGGAAUGGCUUAUGGUCCAAACAGUUUACUGCCAUGGGAUGGGACUGCGGCCUAUCAGCUUGUUGGUGAGGUAAUGGCCCACCAAGGCGAUUACAGGUACGGGCUCUGAGAGGAGAAGCCCGGAGAUGGGUACUGAGACACGGACCCAGGCCCUAUGGGGCGCAGCAGGCGAGAAACCUUAGCAAUGUGCGAAAGCACGACUGGGCCAGUCCGAGUGAUUCCUGAUAAAGGAGUCUUUUGCCUGUCCUAAAAGCACAGGUGAAUAAGGGGUGGGCAAGUCUGGUGUCAGCCGCCGCGGUAAUACCAGCACCUCGAGUGGUCAGGACGUUUAUUGGGCCUAAAGCAUCCGUAGCCGGCUUUGCAAGUCUUCGGUUAAAUCCACCUGCUCAACAGAUGGGCCGCUGGAGAUACUACAGAGCUAGGGAGUGGGAGAGGCAGACGGUAUUCAGUGGGUAGGGGUAAAAUCCUCUGAUCCAUUGAGGACCACCAGUGGCGAAGGCGGUCUGCCAGAACACGUUCGACGGUGAGGGAUGAAAGCUGGGGGAGCAAACCGGAUUAGAUACCCGGGUAGUCCCAGCUGUAAACGAUGCAAACUCGGUGAUGCAUUGGCUUAUGGCCAAUGCAGUGCCGCAGGGAAGCCGUUAAGUUUGCCGCCUGGGAAGUACGGACGCAAGUCUGAAACUUAAAGGAAUUGGCGGGGGAGCACCACAAGGGGUGAAGCCUGCGGUUCAAUUGGAGUCAACGCCGGA
rnacentral:rRNA from 1 species